UACGGAGGGUGCGAGCGUUAAUCGGAAUUACUGGGCGUAAAGCGCGCGUAGGCGGUCUGAUCAGCCGGUUGUGAAAGCCCUGGGCUCAACCUGGGAAUUGCAUUGGAUACUGGAGGGCUAGAGUGCGGUAGAGGGUAGUGGAAUUCCCGGUGUAGCAGUGAAAUGCGUAGAUAUCGGGAGGAACAUCCGUGGCGAAGGCGACUGCCUGGACCAGCACUGACACUGAGGCACGAAAGCGUGGGGAGCAAACAGGAUUAGAUA
rnacentral:rRNA from 1 species